rnacentral:rRNA from 1 species
CNAACACAUGCAAGUCGGAUGUGCCGCAAGGUGCAUGGCAGACGGGUGAGUAACGCGUGGGGAAUCUACCUCUUUGUGGGGAAUAACGCUCCGAAAGGAGUGGUAAUACCGCAUGAGAUCCAUGGCUGGGAUGCUGUGGAUGAAACCUGGGGACCGCAAGGCCUGGGGCAAGGAGAGGAUCCUGCGUCUGAUUAGCUAGUUGGUGAGGUAAUGGCCCACCAAGGCGACGAUCAGUAGCCGGCCUGAGAGGGUGAUCGGCCACACUGGAACUGAGACACGGUCCAGACUCCUACGGGAGGCAGCAGUGGGGAAUUUUGCGCAAUGGGCGAAAGCCUGACGCAGCAACGCCGCGUGGGUGAUGAAGGUCUUCGGAUCGUAAAACCCUGUCGUCGGGGACGAAGGUGGAGGGGUUAAUAGCCUCUUUGCUUGACGGUACCCGGAGAGGAAGCCCCGGCUAACUCUGUGCCAGCAGCCGCGGUAAUACAGAGGGGGCAAGCGUUAUUCGGAAUUAUUGGGCGUAAAGGGCGCGUAGGCGGCUUUUUAAGUGAGAUGUGUAAUCCCUGAGCUCAACUUGGGAACUGCAUCUCAUACUGGGAGGCUAGAGUACUGGAGAGGGUGGUAGAAUUCCACGUGUAGCGGUGAAAUGCGUAGAGAUGUGGAGGAAUACCAGUGGCGAAGGCGGCCACCUGGACAGUAACUGACGCUGAGGCGCGAAAGUGUGGGUAGCAGACAGGAUUAGAUACCCUGGUAGUCCACACUGUAAACGAUGAACACUUGGUGUGGAGGGAGUUGACCCCUUCCGUGCCGUAGCUAACGCGUUAAGU